CGCCAGACUCCUACGGGAGGCAGCAGUGGGGAAUAUUGCACAAUGGGGGAAACCCUGAUGCAGCGACGCCGCGUGAGCGAUGAAGUAUUUCGGUAUGUAAAGCUCUAUCAGCAGGGAAGAAAAUGACGGUACCUGACUAAGAAGCCCCGGCUAACUACGUGCCAGCAGCCGCGGUAAUACGUAGGGGGCAAGCGUUAUCCGGAUUUACUGGGUGUAAAGGGAGCGUAGACGGCUGUGCAAGCCAGAUGUGAAAGCCCGGGGCUCAACCCCGGGACUGCAUUUGGAACUGUGUGGCUGGAGUGUCGGAGAGGCAGGCGGAAUUCCUAGUGUAGCGGUGAAAUGCGUAGAUAUUAGGAGGAACACCAGUGGCGAAGGCGGCCUGCUGGACGAUGACUGACGUUGAGGCUCGAAAGCGUGGGGAGCAAACAGGAUUAGAUACCCUCGUA
rnacentral:rRNA from 1 species